rnacentral:rRNA from 1 species
GCGAGAAUAUUCGACAAUGGACGAAAGUCUGAUCGAGCGACGCCGCGUGUACGAUGAAGUUUUUCGGAAUGUAAAGUACUUUUAUGAGGGAAGAACGUUGACGGUACCUCAUGAAUAAGUGGUUGCUAACUCUGUGCCAGCAGCAGCGGUAAUACAGAGACCACAAGCGUUAUCCGGAAUUACUGGGCGUAAAGCGUGCGCAGGCGGUUAUGCAAGACAGAUGUGAAAUCCCCGGGCUCAACCUGGGAACUGCAUUUGUGACUGUAUAGCUAGAGUACGGUAGAGGGGGAUGGAAUUCCGCGUGUAGCAGUGAAAUGCGUAGAUAUGCGGAGGAACACCGAUGGCGAAGGCAAUCCCCUGGACCUGUACUGACGCUCAUGCACGAAAGCGUGGGGAGCAAACGGGAUUAGAUACCCUAGUAGUCCCUGAGCGGGCUGGCAAGGCGCAU